rfam:Otolemur garnettii contig076543, whole genome shotgun sequence.
CAAAGGGUUUUUUUAAAAACCAUUGGUUGUAUAUGAUAAAAGAUU